rnacentral:snRNA from 1 species
AUACUUACCUGGCAGGGGAGAUACCAUGAUCAUGAAGGUGGUUUUCCAGGGCGAGGCUUAGCCAUUGCACUUCAGAUGUGCUGACCCCUGCAAUUUCCCCAAAUGUGGGAAACUUGACUGCAUAAUUUGUGGUAGUGGGAGACUGCGUUCGGGCUCUCCCCUG